UCCCUUGUGAGGUCAUCUGUGGAAUCCCUUGUGAGGUCACCUGUGGAAUCCCUUGUGAGGUCAUCUGUGGAAUCCCUUGUGAGGUCAUCUGUGGAAUCCCUUGUGAGGUCACCUGUGGAAUCCCUUGUGAGGUCACCUGUGGAAUCCCUUGUGAGGUCACC